CUGCACUGUCAAGUGACUGGACUGCCACCCCCAUGGUGGUUCUUUCAUUCCAGUGCCAGAUGAUAAACGUCAGUUUGCAGAAGGGUUGGGCUAGAUCACUGGCUCUCUCCUUUCGAAGGCUGAGAACAAGA